AGUGAACGCUGGCGGUAGGCCUAACACAUGCAAGUCGAACGGCAGCACAGUAAGAGCUUGCUCUUACGGGUGGCGAGUGGCGGACGGGUGAGGAAUACAUCGGAAUCUACUUUUUCGUGGGGGAUAACGUAGGGAAACUUACGCUAAUACCGCAUACGACCUACGGGUGAAAGCAGGGGAUCUUCGGACCUUGCGCGUUGGAAGGAGCCGAUGUCGGAUUAGCUAGUGGGCGGGGUAAAGGCCCACCAAGGCGACGAUCCGUAGCUGGUCUGAGAGGAUGAUCAGCCACACUGGAACUGAGACACGUUCCAGACUCCUACGGGAGGCAGCAGUGGGGAAUAUUGGACAAUGGGCGCAAGCCUGAUCCAGCCAUACCGCGUGGGUGAAGAAGGCCUUCGGGUUGUAAAGCCCUUUUGUUGGGAAAGAAAAGCAGCAGGUUAAUACCCCGCUGUUCUGACGGUACCCAAAGAAUAAGCACCGGCUAACUUCGUG
rnacentral:rRNA from 1 species